AGUGAACGCUGGCGGUAGGCCUAACACAUGCAAGUCGAACGGCAGCACAGUAAGAGCUUGCUCUUACGGGUGGCGAGUGGCGGACGGGUGAGGAAUACAUCGGAAUCUACUUUUUCGUGGGGGAUAACGUAGGGAAACUUACGCUAAUACCGCAUACGACCUACGGGUGAAAGCAGGGGAUCUUCGGACCUUGCGCGAUUGAAUGAGCCGAUGUCGGAUUAGCUAGUUGGCGGGGUAAAGGCCCACCAAGGCGACGAUCCGUAGCUGGUCUGAGAGGAUGAUCAGCCACACUGGAACUGGGACACGGUCCAGACGCCUACGGGAGGCAGCAGUGGGGAAUAUUGGACAAUGGGCGCAAGCCUGAUCCAGCCAUACCGCGUGGGUGAAGAAGGCCUUCGGGUUGUAAAGCCCUUUUGUUGGGAAAGAAAAGCAGCAGGUUGAUACCCCGCUGUUCUGACGGUACCCAAAGAAUAAGCACCGGCUAACUUCGUG
rnacentral:rRNA from 1 species